GCCUUCGUGGUGUAAUGGUCAGCAUAUUCGGUGCGUAUUCGAGAGGUCUGAGGUUCGAAUCCCGGCGAAGGCA
rfam:Stegodyphus mimosarum contig94511, whole genome shotgun sequence.